AUUGAACGCUAGCGGCAGGCCUAACACAUGAAAGUCGAGCGAGCGGCGGACGGGUGAGUAAUGUCUGGGAAACUGCCUGAUGGAGGGGGAUAACUACUGGAAACGGUAGCUAAUACCGCAUACCAUCAGAUGGGCCCAGAGGGGAGUAGCUAGUAGGGGGGGUAAUGGCUCACCUAGGCGACGAUCCCUAGCUGGUCUGAGAGGAUGACCAGCCACACUGGAACUGUGACACGGUCCAGACUCCUACGGGAGGUAGCCGUGGGGAAUAUUGCACAAUGGGCGCAAGCCUGAUGCAGCCAUGCCGCGUGUAUGAAGAAGGCCUUCGGGUUGUAAAGUACUUUCAGCGGGGAGGCGUUACCCGCAGAAGAAGCGCCGGCCAACUCCGUGCCAGCAGCCGCGGUAAUUC
rnacentral:rRNA from 1 species